UUUAUUUAAAUAUUCAAAUAAAAAGAUUUUUUAUUUUUUAUUUGUAUAGCCGAAGCGAGACAUUCACAGUCUGUCCAGCCGUUACAGUUAUUAUCGCAGAGUACUUCACAGAGACAAAAAAAAUGCUAAAACCUAAAAAUGAUGAUUCUGAUACUACCGAAAGUGAAUGUGAUGAUAAGGAAAAUACUUUCAGCGACAGUGGAUCUAAUAAUAGCAACGACACUUUUGAUUUUAAAAAGCAAUUAAGAAAUCAAACAAAAAAAACGGAAGAUAAAGUAGAAACCAUAAACUAUCACAGGAAAGCUGAAAAAGUAGAUGAUGGAGUCGACAAUCUCUUAGCUGACGAAAGUGACCUUUUUGGUCACUAAAGAUUGGCCUGGAGAGAAAGUACGCAAAAUAGUAGUAGUAGCGUAUCUAAUUUCACCGUGAUCUCAGCAUCCGUACAUUUGCGCUAACCGAAAAAAUGCAAAAUUUUCAGUUUUGCACGUGUUCGAUGAUGUCAUCGUGAGACAUGUUACGGCAUGUUCUUGAAAACAAUAUCAUGUCAUUGGCGAAAAUUCAAAAUUUUUUUAAAAGGGAUUUCGUCACCAUGCCUACAGCAGUCGUAUAUCGGCGCGCUAUUUGAAAAAGCAGCACUUGUAGUUUUGUGAACGUUUGAUGAAAUCAUCAAUUAUCGGGGACGUCGCGAUAUGUCUUUGAAAAAAGCUUUUACCAUGAAGAUAAUGGAUCUGUAUCUUGGCGAGUGGACCAUUCUUUGGCUACAUCUCGCACGCGAACGUGGUUCUUGAGUGUUACAAGGACUUGUGUUGUUCGAGUUUGAAAAAAUACGAAAUGAAACCGCCGAUACAACCCAUAAAUAUUAGGUUGUUGGACGGGGUUCUGCCUCGGGAGUAUCCCGAGACAUACGAUAAUCUUAUACAUGGUUUCUGCAUCAUCGGGCUCGAGCCCUGCUACGUGGGACGGAGAUCUCCACGUAUGCGCUUAUGUCAGCGGUGCUAUGUGCUGACGUUUAACCCUCAGUUGCGUGAAUUUGAAAGAAAAGUGCGAUGGCACGGCAUUUCGUCGCGGUUGCAUGGGUUCCCAAUCCGUAUUAAAACAAUGUGCUUUAUGUGUAGAAAAAUAAUCAUGCGUAUAAGGACUGCCGAUGAGUGCCGCGAGUGUAUUGAAGCGUAUUUAAACAAUGAAAGAGAGUUUGCGAGAUUCAAUAGAUGGGGUAAAAUCUACGAGAUAGAGCUUCAUGAAUGAGAUUAGUAUGUGAUUAUGAGAGUGAACAGCUCUGUAUUGUGUGUAAUUUAUUGUAGUAGUAUAAUGCUGGUUGAGAGUGAAAAUGAGUGAGUUAGUAGAAUUAGAGAAUAGAUUUAGAAGUUAGAGAAUUAGAAGUUAGAGAAUAUGGAUGAGUUUUAUAUAUAUAGUAAGAGAUGACUAUUGUAUAUUGUAUUAUUGAUGUUCUGUAUGUUGUUGGGUAUACUGUGCUUGUCAUACCCAUGUGUGUUGCGUCGAUGCAUUGGCGGCGUGCGCAAAGAGCGGAAAAAUUACGUUUAAGUUUAAACGCUUAUGUCUUAUGUCGAGAUUAUUGUGUGCAAUCGGUAGAUAGUUCUGUACUGCUAAUAAACUACUACAAUAAACUAUUCUAAAGAACCUUUGGUCACAAUUUAUACUA